UGUGCGUCUUUGUUAGGUUUUUGGAGGGCGUUGGACACUCGAGGGCAAGGCUAUGCACUAGUGGCGAUCGUGCCCCGACGGCGAGCGGCAAGGUCAUGCCUCGUCCCUAAAUCUCCCUCUGCCCCUCGUCCGCUCCCGCGCUCGGUCCAACACUCGGUUCGAUGCCUCGUGCUCGGCCAUAGCAGGUCCGACGCUCGCGGCAGAUCUGCUCCUAGCCGCCCCAGCUCAAGCUCUCCCCGUCCAUCUCCAGCGACGCGACAAGAAUUCAACUCAUGAAGGGUCUCCUGAAGUAUCACACACCCUUCUUGUCCUCGUUGCCUUCCUCCCGAAGAAGCUGCAAAGCUGUCUGAAGUGGUCGUCGUCUCCUCCUCCGGCGCCGCCCAGCACGACGGCGUCGCUGCUGAUGAUGAUGGAGACCGAGCCGCCGGGGAGCCGGGACUUUCCCGUCUUCAAGCUCUUUUUUUUUUUUUGGUGGCAUUUAUGCUGGUGAGACGGCAAUUGGGCCUCGCUCCAGAUUUGGAGGACCCUGUCAAACUUGCAGUUCUUCUGGUCUUUUUCCUCAUUAUGCUGGCAUUCGGUUGGGCGAUAACAGUUGAAGACUAGGAUGCGUUCUUGUAUUACAUAAAGAUGAUAAGAUGAAAGAUUAUUUGUUUUACUAUAGCUUUUGUUGUUAUAAAUAAUAAAAUUAAUUGUUGCACAGCUAAGAGUAUGCUUUUAAAAUAUAUGAGAUGAUCAACUUUGGAAACUUUUUUUUAAAGAAAAAUACUUUAGAAGCCGACCUUGGGCGGCAAUGCGGCACGACGUCGAGGGUGCCGUAGGCUCUAUUGUUUCUUUACCUGACACCAGAC